GCGAGAAUCCUUGGAGAUUUUUAUUCUCAUCCUUGUUAUCCAUCAUAUUUAUGAUGUUAACUGUCAAGAAACUUUUAGCAUUGUGAGGUUGCCAGUAGGUGGUCUCCCUCUUCAGAUACAGAUGUUGAGUGGAUUCAAAUCAAGAGCCAAGAGGAUAUAUUUUGGAAGCUACUUGUUCAUGAAAAUUCUUUGUAAGCCUCUUAUGGAUUCUGAGUGCCACGUGAGAAGGAACAUAGUGCUGCUGGAAUGCAUUUGUUCUUCUCUAGGUCACUCCUUUUGAUCCAGGAUUUCAACAUUGUGUCCAACAACUCAAUGGUGACAUCAGCCCUGAAACUUUGAAAGAUUAAGUGAUGCAGCAUAACAUGGCCCAUAUUGUUCAGGAUUCCCAGCAGUAUAGAAUGGUGCUUCAAGACAUUUUGUCCAUGCCGGAUGAAAAUAGUACAUGUAAAAAUGAUGAUUGAUGAUCAUUUAUAACACUGUGUUUCUAUAUUGUGUGUGCACAUAGAUAUUCAUGGAUAUAAAAAACGCUGAUUGUGUGUGUACACACAACUGAACAAACUAGAAAAAGUAGCAUUCAACAUAUUUGGUUGGAGUUACAAAUAUAAGGGUUGGCUGUAAAGCUCAUCAACUGACCAAGAUACACUCAUGUAAUGUGACUGAAUGACGUUUAUUUUACAACAUAGUUCACCUUGUGGUCCAUACACUUCUUCCAUUGCUGUUGCAGUACUUGGAUCCCUCUGGUGAAGAAGCUUUCAUCCUGUAAAUAAAAAAAACAGGUC